UACGUAGGGUGCGAGCGUUAAUCGGAAUUACUGGGCGUAAAGCGUGCGCAGGCGGUUUUGUGAGGCAGCUGUGAAAUCCCCGGGCUUAACCUGGGAAUGGCAUUUGGGACUGCAAGGCUUGAGUGCGGCAGAGGAGACUGGAAUUCCUGGUGUAGCAGUGAAAUGCGUAGAUAUCAGGAGGAAUACCGAUGGCGAAGGCAGGUCUCUGGGCUGACACUGAGGCUCAUGCAAGAAAGCGUGGGGAGCAAACAGG
rnacentral:rRNA from 1 species